GAUGAACGCUGGCGGCGUGCCUAAUACAUGCAAGUCGAGCGAACAGACGAGGAGCUUGCUCCUCUGACGUUAGCGGCGGACGGGUGAGUAACACGUGGAUAACCUACCUAUAAGACUGGGAUAACUUCGGGAAACCGGCGCUAAUACCGGAUGAUAUAUUGAACCGCAUGGUUCGAUAGUGAAAGACGGUUUUGCUGUCACUAAUAGAUGGAUCCGCGCCGCAUUAGCUAGUUGGUAAGGUAACGGCUUACCAAGGCAACGAUGCGUAGCCGACCGGAGAGGGGGGUCGGCCACACGGGAACUGGGACACGGUCCAGGCUCCUACGGGAGGCAGCAGUAGGGAAUCUUCCGCAGUGGGCGAAAGCCUGACGGAGCGACGCCGCGUGAGUGAUGAAGGUCUUCGGAUCGUAAAACUCGGUUAUGGGGGAAGAACAAAUGUGUAAGUAACUAUGCACGUCUUGACGGUACCUGGUCAGAAAGCCACGGCUAACUACGCG
rnacentral:rRNA from 1 species